UCCCUGGUAGCUCAGUGGUAAAGAAUCUGCCUGCCAAUGUAGGAUAUGCAGGUUCAAACCCUGUUUUAGGAA
rnacentral:tRNA from 1 species